GUCUAUGGCCAUACCACUCUGAACACACCUGAUCUCGUCAGAUCUCGGAAGCUAAGCAGGGUCGGGCCUGGUUAGUACUUGGAUGGGAGAUGUCAGGCCUAAAAAUA
ensembl:rRNA 5S_rRNA 5S ribosomal RNA